GACGAAGGGGGCUAGCGUUGUUCGGAAUUACUGGGCGUAAAGCGAGUGUAGGUGGUUGUCAUAGUCAGGCGUGAAAGCCUUGAGCUCAACUCAAGAAAUGCGCUUGAUACUGGGGCAGCUAGAGGACCGGAGAGGAUAGUGGAAUUCCCGGUGUAGUGGUGAAAUACGUAGAGAUUGGGAAGAACACCCUGCGGAGGAGGCUGACUGUCG
rnacentral:rRNA from 1 species